UACGUAGGGGGCAAGCGUUGUCCGGAAUCAUUGGGCGUAAAGAGCGUGUAGGCGGACUUAAAGGUCUGGUGUGAAAGCCCGGGGCUCAACCCCGGAGGGUCACUGGAAACCAUAAGUCUUGAAUCAUGGAGAGGUCAGUGGAAUUCCGAGUGUAGAGGUGAAAUUCGUAGAUAUUCGGAAGAACACCAGUGGCGAAGGCGGCUGACUGGACAUGUAUUGACGCUGAGGUGCGAAAGCGUCGGGGAGCAAACAGGG
rnacentral:rRNA from 1 species